GUGCACAUCUCCUGCAAGCAUAAUGGAAUAACUGAGGUGAAGCCUAAAUUAAGUAUGCUUAGAUCUCCUUCUACAUUGAUUUGCGGAGGGGUUUUCACAAAUAAACAAAUGAGGGAUAAAGGUGCCAUGCUUCGUGUUUGGUGACAGCUCUCUCAACACAAAGUAUUCCUUUAUUAGAGUUGGGUUUCCUUGCCGGCGACCUCGUCGUCUCUAACCUGUCUAAGCUCUAAUUGUGUGAAGUGGGAUGAGGACAAUCUGUAUGAGUUUGAAUCAAGCAAGCCAGUGAGACAGAAGAUACCUGAGCCCAAGACAUAGUAUCACCCUAUUAUGAUAGAUGGGUCAGUAUCACCAAAGCACCCGUUUGACAAGUGCCUAGAUGAGACUGUUAAUGUUGAAGCUAUUCUAACUGUUUUAAAUGGCGUGGCUUCUUCAAGUAAAAAUGAUUCUAAGGAUGAUGAUUGGGCAACCUCAGAUGAUGAUGCGGAUUCCAUGGAACAUGAUGAUGGUUGGUAGCUUCUUGCUCAAUUGCUAUUAUAAUGUGGUU